rnacentral:lncRNA from 1 species
CCCGAGCUGCAGCCGUACCGCCGCUCUGAGCGGCGCUUCUGGGGCCGGAGAGCCGCGCAACUCCCGACACAGUGUUGCGGCUCCGUGGAGCAAUAAAUAACGCCGCUCAGGUACUUUUUCUUCCAGAGAGCCAUACAAAUUGGUCCGUGUUGACAGACGUUUGUCACUUAGUAACUUCUUUCCAAGGUUGUUUUUUUUUUUUUUCCCUCCCUCUUCCCUCCUCUAAGCCUUCUUCCGAGCCCGCUUUGUUGUUUUAAAAUAUGCAUGUCUCUCAGGAAUGCGAGUCACGAGUCCAAACUUCGUGUCCAACCUCCCACAAGAAAUGAUCCUUUUAUAGGGAACCCGAUAUGUCUCAAUCUGCACUUCACUCAAAGCCGCUGGAUAUAGGGCGCCGCUCCCUGCGCGCAAAUCACCGAGCCAGAGCGCCUUUCUAGCCCCCCCCCCCCAGAAACACACGCAUGGCUCCCGGGGAGGAAAUACAUCUCCCAUGGCAUGGUGAGAGGGGAGCGCAGUCUGGAGGAAGGAAAAAAUACAUAGGAAAGGGAAAAUAAAGAAAAAAAAAGGAGGAGAGAGGGGAAGUUUAACUGCUGCGCGCACCGCGCAGGGCCGUCGCAAGCAGUGGGUUUGCCAAGGACGUGCCCCUGUGCAACUCCGGGUGCGUGGGGAGAAGGCGUCAGCUCGUGGCGAGCGGAGGAGAGAUGGAGGAGCUGAGCCCAACUUCGGGAAAAGAAGUGUGGAAGGAAGGACACAAAGAUGGUGUAUCGGUGACAGGAAGAAAGUGGCCUUUUAA